GUCUGUGGUUAGUACACCUAGCUAUGCUGCUUUUGCCCUGGGGUCUUCCAGCCUUGUGGCUGGUGGCUGGGUGCCUUCUACUGGUGCUGUGCAGAGGCUUUCCCUAAGGCUGCUGUGAGCCUGUAGGGUUUCCCCCUAGGCUACUAAGCUGGGUCUCUGGAACUCUCUCCAGCCCCUGUCCUCUCCGAGAUCUCUGGCAAUCCCUAGUCUCACGGGGCGGGCAACGGCAGCUGGGGGUCGCCCCGCCCUCUGGGCUUCUCUCCGGGCCUCUCUCGGGAGCCCUGAAUGCUGGGCGUGGCCCCUCUGCUAAUGGCAGACAGAGAGUUUUGUCUGCUGCCUGGCGGAACUCCGGCACUUCCCCUCCGGGUCGCAGAACCGGCCUUUGAAAGUUCCCCCCGCCCCGGUCCUCUCCGAGAUCUCUGGCAAUCCCUAGCCCCACGGGGCGGGCAACGGCAGCUGGGGGUCGCCCCGCCCUCUGGGAUUCUCUCUGGGCCUCUCCCGGAGCCAUGAAUCCUCAGCGUGGCCCCUCUGCUAACGGCAGACAGAGAGUUUUGUCUGCUGCCCGGGCGGAGCUCCGGCGCUUCCCCUCCGGGUCACCGGCAACGGCAGCUGGGAGACCUCCGUACCCUCCGUGACUCUCUCUGGGACCCAAUGGCGGGGAGAGACUCUCCCCGCGGGCUCAGGUGUGCAACUCCAAAGUUUCCCUCUGCGUUUAGGAGUAAUUGCGGGGGGUUUAGGUAGGGUUCUGGUCACCUGUUUCCACUGUCGCUCCUCUGUUGUGUUCUCGCUCCUGCCCUAGAUGUGUGUGGAUCCUCUGGGGGCGUCCGUUGGAAGAAAGCCGCUUGCGGGUACUAGGCUGCCCAUCGGGGUCAGAGAGUUUUCACCUAUUUCCACAUCCUCCCGGAGGAAAGUCCGUCCGCCUUCUGAUGUAUAGUCACGUGGGUGUCUCAGACGUCCUGAGAUGCUGUCUGGAUAUCCUUUGUCAAGCGAUAAGUGUCCAAAUAAUUGUAGACUCGAAGGGCGAGAGACAAAGAGGACUACUCACGGCGCCAUCUUGGAUCUUCUCCGGUGGGUAUGUAUUUUAAUUGCCAGACUAAUUUCCAAAGUGGUUUAUCAGUUUACACCAGCAAGAUAUCAAAACUGCCAUUGCUUCAUAUCCUUGUUAACAUUCGGUAUUGUCACUGUGUGUGAAAUAGCAGUUCAUUAUGGUUUUAAAUUGCAUUUCCCUGGCAACUAACGAUGUUAAACAUCUUUCUAUGUGCUUGUUGGCCAUUCCUGUAUCUUCUUUUGUGAACUGUCUUUCCAAAACUGCGUAUUUUUGAUGAUGUAUACAUGCACACGUGUAUAUACGUGUAUGUGUUUUAUUGUACAUGUGUAUGUAUAUACAAACAGGUACACAAACACACACUCACAAACAGAUACACAUGACGUAAACAACUGAAGUGUUGGGAGAGGGGUCUAGAUCAGGUGGGUCAGUAGGUUUGAAAAGCAACAGAAUGAAGUUCUCUGCAAGGUUGCACAGCUUGAGGAAACUACCUUAACAUCUGUCUGUAAAGCAGUGCCUUCCUUGUAGGCUUGUUAGGAGGGUUAUGUGUUCCUACGUGUUAAGCGUUUAGAAUAACACUUGGCGCCUAGUGAGCACUCAUGAGUGUUGAUUAGAAGUAAAAUGAACCAACCCAGCCUUGAUCCUCAUCAGCCAGCGAGCAGAGAGGGCACCUUCUCGUGCCCUGAACCCUCUGAUGAAAUGAUGCCUAUGGGAGGCUUUUUCACACCUUUGCCAUGAAAUUCCCAUUGUGGCAGUUGACACCCACGCAGAUGGGACAGAGUCAGUAAAUCUUUCUUGGAUGAAUAGAUAGGGGUUGGGCCAGGUCAGUGUUUCCCACGGGAGGAAUGUGAGAUGGUUUUAGGCGGUACACAGACUGGUAUUUUAAAUUUAAAUAAUUAGGUAUUUAUUACAGAAUGCGUUAGGUCUGAUAUGCUACCAGAUAUCUUCUUCUGAGUAUUAAAAAAAGGUAGUUGAUUUCAAGACAUAUUAAAUUGAACAUGUGGUAUGUGAAUGUCAUGAAAAUUUUUAGAGUAGUAGUGGAUUGAAUGAAAUUGAGAAAAUCUUUGAGGUCUGUCUAAAUCUGAGAUAUUUGAUUCUUUGCAUCUGGGUUUCAAACAUGAAAUUAGGACAUACAAGUAGAAGGGAUGUUCUCUGGGUUUUGGGAACAGAGGACUAAUGGGAAUGGACAGCAAACAAGAUGCACAGGAUCGUGGUAUGGAGAUAAGUAGUAUUAGAUUUUUGGUAUCUACUUUGGGACAGUCUUUAUGUAUAUGUAUAUGUUCAUUCUAGCAAAAUUGGGAGCAUCCUGUAUAUGUAAUUUUGUAUUCUGCUUUGUUCACCUGAUGCGAUAAUUCCAGGUUCAGUAUUCUUGUACAAAAAUCUUUGUGUCCAUUCUUGUUUCCUUAGGAUAGAUCCCAGAAGUGGGGUUGUUCUGUCAUUGGGUACACAUGCUUUUCUGGCUUUCUGUACCUGUUGCCACGGUGCCUUGGACGUGCCUGUGCCAGUUGAUUGUUCUGGCGGCGGUGUUGAGUGCCAUCCUCCUCAGCCCUCUCCAGCGCCAGCUUCUGUUAAAAAAUAGUUCUGUUGCCAAUUUGAUAGGAGAAGUACUGCUCUCUGCUUUUGCUUUCAUUGUGCUUUUUAAAAAAUUAUUGAUAGAGCUGAUAUGUGUGUUCAUUGAUCAGUUGGAUUUCUUUUGUGAAUUGUUCUUUUUUUUGUCUUUUGUCCUUUUUUUCCUUCUUGGAUAUUAGGGCUUUUUUCUUACUAAUUUACUAGUCCUUUAUACUGAAAGGAUGUUAAUACUUUGUGGUGUGUCACAGAUAUUUUUCCUAGUUUAAUAUUUGCCUUUUAUGUUUGUUACUGUUUUCUUCUUGUGAAGCAAUGCUGUGUUUGAUUGAUUCUGUGACACAUGUGUUCUUGCCUUUUAACUUUUUUGAAAUCAGAUGUGAUUUAUUCUUGAUGUGUCCUGCAGUCACUGUCAGGUUGUGUUAGAUUUGUCAUUACCUGUGCAAGUGGACAUGGUCGUUAUUCCUGGUGGCAGGGCUGGACCUCUGCAACCACAGCCCCUGGAUGCUUUUGUCCCCAUACCAUUUAAAGGCCAUUUGAAGAAGGAGCACAGAUCCUGAUUGCUGUUUGAAAACCAUCCAUUGAUACCUUCUGAUGGGAUCAAGAAAAGGUAUCAAAACUUACAGAGUGAGGGGCAGCAGCUUGGAAGAAAAUCUCAGAGAAAGAUGAUGAUGGUCUUUUAAGAAAUGCGGCGUCACCAACACCCUCGAUGGAUAUUUUGCUCGUGUCCAUGGCAUCAGGCAGCUUAUAAAGGCAUUUCUACAGAAGAUAGAAUGUCAGUGCCAAAUUAUAAACCUGGGGGCUGGGAUGGAUACCGCCUUCUGGACAUUAAAGGUAAGUUAAAAUCCCCCCUCUUUUUUCCCCAGUUGUUUAAAUUUGAUUUUGUGAAGAUUUUCACCAUAUUCAAAACUUUUAAAACUAUAUUAAAAGGGAUGCAGUGACAGCCUGUCUCCCACCAUUGUCCCCACCUGCUUGCACACCCCCCACAACCCCCAUCAGCCCCGUAUCUCACCGGGGCCCUAGUGAAGGAUAUGUGGGUUGUUUCUCAUCUUUUGCUGUUACAAACAGGGUUAUAAAAAAAAUCUUUGUAUAUAUUUCCCCCUGCAUGUGUGGAAAUAUAUCAGGAGAGAAAAUUCUGCCAGUGGAAUUGCUGAGACAAAGAGCACAUGCCUUUGUAAUUUUGAUAAUAACUAAGAUUUUAUUGUCAGCAUAGCAGCGUUUAGGUAAAAUUUCUCUGGGCAAUGAUAAUAUGAUACAAAGCCCUUUUGUAGCCAAUCUGUGAUUUGAUCCCUUACCUGCUCUGUUAGGAUUCAAGAGCAGGUGUAAUUGCAUUCACAGGACAGGAAACUUGGGUCUCAUUACUGGCAGAAGCAGGACUAAAGCACUCGGCUUUGACUCCUGGGGUGGAAUUUUGCCUUCAAACCUUUGCCCUACGAAGAUUCCACUGAUCGUAUUUUCUUUUUUGUAGGUUUGUACAGAUUUUUUUAGGGUCUUCUAUCAGGUCAGUCAUGUGGCAGUAAUGGGUAUGUGCAUUUCCCCAGAUUUCUCCAGAUGUACACCAAGAUAAAUUAGAGUGUGUGGGCAUAACCCGACCUGCAUAUCUGUUUUGUCCCUAAUCAGCUCACCUGAUAAGAUGGUCUUUAGUCAUCAGAGCUCCCAGCCUUUCUCUUACUCAAGCGAGAAGUCGGUGGCAUCAACAUGGUCUUAGUAUUAAACGUUUGCCUCUGCAUUCUUCAUUUAGGAUAAGAUAACUAACAUUUCUGAGGUGUUUUUACAUACAUGGCCUCACGAAUUAACAUGAGAUCUCUGUGAGAGGGGAGAGUUUUACACAGAUGGGGAAAGUGGGGCUGCGAGAGCUUGUGUCUUUCCCCAAAUUGGAUAUCUGGUGGCACUGGAAUGUGGAACAAACAUUGGAGCCCAGCUCAUCGAACUGCAGACUCCUUCCCCUUUCCUCUACACACAGCCCUGUGGGUGUUCCAGCGGUUCUUUUCUGUAGGUUGAUUGUGCCUGUGUAACACGGGGACCAUGGUGUACCAGAAGGAACUGGAAGAGAAUGCAGCGUAAGCGAAUGUGCAGUGUCAGUGUUCACAGGGGCCGCUGGAGAAAUCCCUCCUUUGGGCCUGACACCUUUUUGACUGGUCCCAUGGUUUGGUUUUUUCCCUGUCUUGCAAGUGAGUUAAUAAUUAAUAAAUGUGAGAUUUUUAUUUCUGAGCAAGGUACACAGAGGCUUACGUGCUCCUUCCAAGGAAAAGGCUGUCUGGCAGUAGUGAGGAAGGAGAGUAGCACAGGGUCUGAAAGUCUUUUGUGGAAGUUUUUUGUUUUGUUUGAUAAUCAUAUUGGUCUGAAGGGAUUUUUUAAAAUCUAAAGUUCCUCCUUUUUUGAAAAACAAUUAUUAUGUUUGCUCUUUUGGAGCCGAGGUUGCAUGGGCCAAAUCCAGCCUGCCACCUAUUUUUAGAAAUCAAAUUUUAUGGGAUGCAGCCACUCCCAUUUAUUUCCAUAUUCUCUGUGGCUGCUUUAGCACUGUGACCGCGGAGUUCAGCAGUUAUGACAGACCGUCUGGCCUUCACAGGCUAAAAUACUUAUUUCUGACUCUUUACAGAAAGUUUGCUAAUCCCUGUUUUAGAAAUAUAUGUGCUCCUAUAAAAGAGUGAGGAAAAUGUUGUCUGUUGGUCUUGUUGUCUCAUGCACCUCCCACCUUGGAUGGUCCCCUGGCUGCCCCAGCACAGGAUUAGCUGUGAGUCAAGGCUUUCUGCUGUCACUACUAUAUGAGUUUGGUCUGUAUGAUCUCAGGGGCCCAGGACUGGAGGGUUGAAGACUCCCAUCUUCGGGCAGCGGGCAAGAAUAGGGCAAGGGAGAGCUGGUAUUGUCCCAAACAGAGAAUAAGGAGUGAGUGAAACUCUUAAGGGGCCUCAGUUGUUUGGUGUCUCUUGAAUUCUGUUUCUACAAACUGAAAGGUCAAGUACAUAGGGGAAGGAUUGUCAAUUUUGCUGGCCUGUGAAACGGUCAGCCAUGUUGGAUCUGCUUUGAGACUAAGUGGUACCCUUCCUCCUGGCUGCUCCUGGCUGCCCUCUGGUACUUAUAGUCAGUCUUGGGUGUCUCCCCUGCCUCCUUGAGACGUGUGAGCUACUUGGGAGUGGAGUGUCAGAAGGGCCUAGAGAAUCACAGACUAAAAAGUGGAAGUAUCACUUCCCACAGCCAUUUUGCCCUUUUCUGAAAGCCGAGAAAGAGGAUGUCUGUUUCUUAAAAGCUCCAGGUGUGCCUUUUGGAAGCUUCCCUUCCACAGUGCCCUCUUAUUCAGAAUCAUUGGGAGGAUCAAGUGAGCUACUGCAGGGAAAGCUCUUUACAAAGUCAGAAGACCCAUUUGAGUUGUAGGACUCUAUGCUAUCUGUCAUUCAUUUGCUUUUAAUUGCUCUCUUUGUCUUCUGGAAUUUUAGACUAUCUUUAACUUUCCAUACCCUGUGAGUAAAAGUUCUUGAAAGGUCUUGUAGAAUUUCCUAGAGAAAGUCAGGAAACCCCUUAAUGGGUUUCACUCACUCCUUAUUCUUUGUUUGUGACAAUACCGGCUCUCCCGUGCCCUAUUCUUGCCCACUGCCCGAAGAUGGGAGUCUUCAACGCUCCAGUCCUGGGCCCCUGAGAUCAUACAGAUCAAGUUCAUGUAGCAGUGGCAGCAGAAGGCCUUGACUCGCAGCUAAGCCUCUGCUGGUGCAGCCAGGGAACCACGCCAGGUGGGAGGUGCGAUUUCCACACAUGCUCUAAACACGUCCUCCACGGAUCUUCAAAUAGAUUACAUAGCCCUACUCUGCUGAUAGGCGGGAGCUCCUCUGAUGUCAGGAAACUGUCUUGUUUAUUCCUCCCCCCACCCUCCGCCACUGCCUCCCUCGUACCUUCCUUUCCUUCCUCUCUUCUCUCUCUCUUUCUCUUGCCCCAUCCUUCCCUCUCUCCCUCCCUCUCUUCCUUCCUCCUCCCCCACCCCUCCAGAUCCCCUAGGACUUUAACUGAGGACUAGUGUCUGCAUAGGGUGGGGGAGCUGGAUCUCACAUUUCUGACACUUGCCCUUAGGGGUCACCUUCCUACUAGGAAAUGCUUGCUCAUGAUUUCCAUUCCCAUCAUGCUGUCCCAUCAGGGGGUCUGCUGCCCCUCCAUACUGCUCUCCAUCUCUUACUACUGUCUACAUAAAUGGUUCUCUCUCCUGCCCAGUUGCUCAGGGCAGAAACAAGGGUGCCAUCCUUACUCCUCCUUUUUCUUUAUCCCACCCUCUAUUGACACCACACCAGGUUCUGGAUAUCAGCAACUUUCUUUUUAAAUAAGUAGUUCUGUAUUUCUGGAAUAUAAGCACAGAUGGGAGCAGGGAUGUUAAAAGAGUACUAGGCCAGAAGGUGGGCAGGUGGGCCAGGUUGUGGAGCACCCAGCAUCUUAGCUCAAUCUUAGAGGUGGGAAGAGCUGCUGCAGGCAACAUGAAGUGUGUCGUUGAAAGAGAUCAGAAAGGGAUGUUGUUAGAGUCUGUGCAGUUGGGGACAGAGCGGAAGAGGAGAGGAUGCCUUCUAGGAUAGUCAGCAGGCAGGGCUGAGUGACUGAUCAAACAGGGUGGAGACGGAGAGAAUUCUAGGAUGACCAGUGAGUGACUGUGGGGAGGAGGGGAUAGUACCACCCAGCUAGGGAAGCAGAAGGGGGAAGCAGGGCCGUGUGUGUGUGUCUCUAUGUGUGAGGUUUUCACAGUUUUUUUUUUUUUACUGCAGCUCACAGUAAAAAAUAAAUGUAUAUCCCAAUCUAGCACCCACAUCUAUGUACUGAUGUCUAAAUAAUAAGGGCACACACAUGGUGCUUACUAGGUGCAGGCCCUGUUCUCUCACUCCUGUAUUUCCUCAUUAAUCCUCACAACCCCACGAGGUGGUAUCAUUUUCUCUACUUUUCAAAUGAGGAAGCCUUGGCUCAGGGAGUUUAGUGACUUUCCCAAGGCCUCAGAGUGAACAAGUGGUGGAGCUGGGAUUUGAACCCUGUCCGCCCGGGCUGCAGAGUCCCUGUCCUUUACCACCCCAGUAUACUCCACUGUCAGAGAAAAAAAUAAAUAUAUUACAAAAUAGUACUUACCCUCACCUCAUGUGAUGCUUUCUGAUAUUUGCUAUUUUAUUUCAUUUCAUCCAAAAGAUUCUUGUCCAUACCCACUACACUGAUUUCCUGACUCUCUCUAAUUGGUCUCAAGCUGCUUCCUGUUACAUCCUACGUCCAGAGUGCCUCCUGCUCCUCCCCACUCCAUCCCAGUGGACGCUUCCCCAGUUCUGGCUGCCCAUUACUUCUUGCCUAGGUGACCACAGUAACCUCCUAAUUUUUUGCGCCAUCUGUUCCUCAUACUGAGACCAAAGUAAUUUAGAAAAUGCAUUUCUGACCAUAUCAUCCCCUGAUUUAAAAUCCUUAAAUACCCCAUUGCUCCUCGGGCCUUGGUACUUGGUCUGUGAGGAUGAUCAGUGAAUAUAUGACUGAAUAAAUAAUUAUAAAGAUAACUGUGUUUUUUCUCAGGAUGAGGGUCUUCUCCCAAGGAAAUAUUUUGAAGUUGACUUUCCGGUGAUAGUCACGAGAAAGCUACACAGCAUCAAGUAAGUGUGGCUUUGGCCAGAAGAAAGAGCCUGGUAGAAUUCAGAACCGGCCUUCAGUAGACAGCAGGUCUGAGUGCCAGAGACCUCAUUUUAGGGCCCUGCUCUCCUCACUUGCUUUCUUGCCCCGAGACCCUCAUUCCAGUGUGUCUUGCAGUCUUCAAAAUGAAAAAUACCCUCCCUUGUGACUCUUCUCUCCAUUAAUGUAACUUCUCUGAACACUUAAAAAAUGACCUAUCAUAGUUUAGUAAUCUGAAUUAAAAUUCACAUAAUGUGUAUUUUGUUUACUUCUUUAUCCCAGGGAACAGAAAGGUACCUGGUCCAGAAAAGAUAUGUAGUAAAUAUUUUUUGAAUGAAUGAAUGAAUGGGAAACUGAACUUAAUCAUUUAUUAUAUAUGAGAUAUGUGGGGGCCAUUCUGAGUCGAGGUUUCAAGGAGUUUGCAAAGUUGUAGAUGAUGAGUUUGCUCAUCUUUGCCGAGAGCUUUGCGUGUCAAAUGCUUCUCUUGGAUUGUCUCAUUCAAUCCUCAGAGCAGACUCAUGAAUUAGUGCUAUUAUUAGCCCCUUCUUACAGAUGAGGAAACUGAGGCUCAAAGACGUUAAUUUGCCUAAAGUCACCUGGCUAGGAAGGGGUGGAGCUGAGCUUUAAACCCUGACUUCAAGCCCAAGGUCAAGGUUUCUCAGUACAGUCGUGUGUCCCCUAACAGUAACAGGGAUGCGUUCUGAGAAAUGCAUUGCUAGGUGAUUUCAGUGUCAUGUGAACGUCGUGGAUUACACUUACACAGUCCCAGAUGGUGUAGCCUACUAUACAUCUGGGCUGUAUGGUGCUAAUAUUGAAGGACCACUAGCACGUAUGUGGUCUGUGGUUGACUGAAACGUCAUUAUGUGGUGUGUGACUUAGUUUUAACCUGUACUCCCUCCUUUUAAAAUUAUUUAAAUAAAAUUUUAAUUCUUAUAUUUAAACAUUUUAAUAAACGCAAAAGUUUCUACCUGUCCUUUAGAGAUGUCUAAUCCUCACAAACUGGAAAUAUUUUUCAAGUUUUUUCUUUUCUAGUUUAUCCUAGGAAAAUAAGUUUUUUACCCCUUUCCAAAUAUAAAAUUGCAUUUUACAUUAAAUAGGCUUUUUGGAUAAUAUAUGGCAAUUCUGAUGCUCUGGGAACUGCAAAGUACUACUAAGCUUGUUAAAACUCUGAGUGAAGUAAGAGUAAGUAGGCUCUAAAUCAAGGCCAGACACGGUUUCCUGGGGUGAAAA
rnacentral:lncRNA from 1 species